AAUACAUUUUACAAAGUCAAUGAAGUUUGACAUGAAACAGAUGAGGCACUGAGCAAAAAUAUUUUCCAGUUCUGAAGCUAAGCAUUCAGAGACAUAUUUCCAGUAUUGUAGGAUUUAAUUUUCUUAAUGAUAUCUGUUAGCUCUUCAAGAACUGACAAACUGGCUCCCACUGUUGCCCACUUUAUUUAAGGUUACCUGUCUGUCAAUUGCUUCCAGAGGCACCAGUUCCAGAAGAAUUUGUCAUUUCAACCCACAUUGAGCAAGACUAUGAUUAUCUCUGAAAUGUUAUUUCCAGUGGCUUUUGCAUCUUUCUAGUAAUCUGUACAGAAAGGCACACUACACUUGAUACAUGACUACUAACUAUGGAAGUUUCUAUAAUAAUCCCUACAGAGUAUUCUUCUGUGCAGUGAGAAGCUUCAGGAAGCCCAAGGCAACAGAAAGCAUUUCAUGAGUGGUCUCUGGCACUGCACUGGCUGCCCUCUUGGCUCUGACUGCAAUUACCAGCUACAGCACCCUUGGGAACAGUGUACAGCAAGCUUUUUCAUCCAUUUAUUUUACAAGCUGCUGUUGCCACUGUUCUCCUUGAGGAGUCUUGACAGUUGACUCAAGCUGAUGGCCACACUUCCACAAACUGCUGUAGAGGAACUGCCAAACCUGUUUCUACUGUCUCUAAGAAUCACAACAAAUGAAACUUGACUCCUGCAUACAAACUGAUGGAAGCCAGAUUUGUAGCAUUUCUCAGAACUCUCCUGGAGAGAAUGAGCAUCUCUUCAUUCUGAGUCUCAUCCUGGAUAUUUUCUUUAACAAAAAUUAGAAGUUCUUAAUUACUUUAAAGGAGUAUCUACUAUUUUAUCAAAUUUGUCUCAAAUCAGCCUAUCUGCUCAAAACCUAUUAACAGGGCAUGGGUGCUACGGUUGCACAAAUCUCCUUUCCUUAGUAAACUGGGCCAAAUACCUCUAAGAAGUCAAAUGAAAGUUUAAUCUUUUAGAAAUGACAUUAAAAAAAUAAAUUUUUUUAGACAAUCCUACCAAAUUUAGUAUCAUGUUAAUCCUACUAUUCAAAUGUGCAGGAAUAAACAAGAAAUUAUAUUCUUUACGUGAAUUUUUGACUCUUCCUCUAUGCUUCUACAUGACGAGUAAUUUUCAAUCAAGCUGUUUAGAACACCUGAGAUAUUCCUCAGCAAAUGACUGCCUUGUCUGAGCCCAGUCAAUAUUGACUCCAAUGAGGCAUGCAUCACCACGCAUUCAGAUGCAUUUUGCAUUUUGAUUGAAGAACAAACCACUCCAGGCCAUCAGACACACAUAGGCCAGGAAGGAUGCACGCAUUCUGCUUUGUACUUUGGCAAGGGAACUCUAAACUGGCUAAAUUUUAGUCAAGACCAAAUAUUCAAGAAUCUGGAGAUGAUGGAGAGCCUUGGAAAUAUCAACUCUGUUUUAGAGAUGCUGCUUACAAUUUUGUUUUGUAGGCUUUCUUGAAGAAUACAAAAACUUCUCCUAAAAACACUGUAUGCCCAAAGAAGGGAGCCUGAAAUAAAGAUAAACAAGUUGACUGCUGAAUAUUGAGGCAAAAAGGAAAUAGCUGUGUAGAUAUGAGGCAUGUUGGACAGCAUUAUAAAUAGAAGUCAGUGGAUCACAAAAAAACCCCAAACAAAACAGCACAAUCUUUAUUUUACUAAGGUUUUAAAAAAUAUAUAAUUCUACUAUUUUAAAGUUAUCAUUAACAUGCUACAGAGGAAGUUUCUAAAACUGAAAUAUGUUUAUGUUCUAGAGACUGUUCUUAGUAGAGCCUGGCAAAAAGAAAGCUGUUCAAAGAAAGGCAAUGAUACAAGAGUCAAAUGAAAUAAAGUAUUUAAGAGGGCAAUACUUCUGCUGGUUCCCAAACUCCAUAAAGCAGCAUUAAUGCAAAACCCCAGGACACAACUGGCUAGAUUCCUAAGCAAGAAAAUGUGGAAGUGAUGCCAUCUUUCAUCCAAAAGUCCAGUCACUAAUGCAUUCAUCUGGGAGAAGGCACUAGACAGAGAAGACCCAUGCCUGUUUGAGGAGAUUUUCAGAAGGGAUUUUAAAAUAAACCUCCUUGUUUUGUUUCAUCUAAGUGUACACUGAGCCAGAAUGACUCAAGUCUGAUAUGUAAACCACACAAUGGGGAGAUGGGACAUCCUAGACUUUUAAUCUCUGUUCAGAUAGACAUUUAACAUUCUUGAAGUAAAAUAACUAAAUCAGAGGAGAGUACCUCAAAUACCCUGUGAAACUCUGGUUAGAUCAGAUGUGUGGGAAGUGUUGAUCCUAUGAAAAAUAAGACAUGUCCCCUUACAGACUGUAACUGAUUGGCUGCUGGAUAGGACAGUAAUUCUGAUUGCUUUCUCUUUUGUUAUCUUAAUAUUUUCUUUCCAUUUGGCAGCCAGUCUGAUAAAUAAAAAUCAGUUAUUGGCACAGACAUUAUCAGAAUUAAUGGACAAGUUUUACAGAUGUGAUGAUAAUGCCAAGGAAUUAGCUUCAGUUCUAGUUUUCUUAACAGAAACUCCUAAGCAAACACAUGAUUACUAUUAAAAAACAUAAAUUUAACAAUCUAAAGGUGUGUCACUUUCUUCUUACAGUGAUUGAUCCAGAGUUGCUGAUACCUCAGCAGAAAUUUUGAACAAUAUUGGGCUAAAGAAAUAUAUGUAUUAGAUUUUCUGUCUUUAUUUCUUACAAGUUUGGGGGUUUUGGAUGAAGAGAAAAUUUUGCUUAGAAGCUUAGUAAUGUGUUUCUAUGUUUAUUCAUCAGGUAUUUUCAAAUUCAUCCCAAUGGCAACUCAUUGUGAGACAAUGUGAGUUAUUUUUAUGAUUUCAAAGUAGCAGCAGCAUUUAUCACUUCUGGUUCUAUCUGCAAUAGUUUAAAAGCUGUACUGGAACAUUGUACUUCUACAAGUCUUAACUCA